GCAAGAGUGGUGGAAUUGGUAGACACGCAAGCUUCAGGCGCUUGUGGAAUACUCUGUGUGGGUUCGAGUCCCAUCUCUUGCACCA
rnacentral:tRNA from 1 species